UACAGAGACCUCAAGCGUUAUCCGAAUUUACUGGGCGUAAAGAGUUCGUAGGUGGCUUUUCAAGUUCCGUGUUAAAUAGAUGGGCUCAACCUAUCUGCUGCGCGGAAAACUGAGGAGCUUGAGGAUGGGAGAGGUAAGCGGAAUUGCCGGUGGAGUAGUCAAAUGCGUUGAUAUCGGCAAGAACACCAGAGGCGAAAGCGGCUUACUGGAACAAUCCUGACACUGAGGAACGAAAGCGUGGGGAGCAAAACGG
rnacentral:misc_RNA from 1 species